GACGAACGCUGGCGGUGUGCUUAACACAUGCAAGUCGAAUGGUAAGGCCCUUUCGGGGGUACACGAGUGGCGAACGGGUGAGUAACACGUGAGUAACCUGCCCUCAUCUCUGGGAUAACAGUCGGAAACGGUUGCUAAUACUGGAUAUGAGCCUGCAAGGCAUCUUGUGGGUUGGAAAGAUUUUUUGGUUGGGGAUGGACUCGCGGCCUAUCAGCUUGUUGGUGAGGUAGUGGCUCACCAAGGCUUCGACGGGUAGCCGGCCUGAGAGGGCGACCGGCCACAUUGGGACUGAGAUACGGCCCAAACUCCCACGGGAGGCAGCAGUGGGGAAUAUUGCACAAUGGACGGAAGUCUGAUGCAGCAACGCCGCGUGCGGGAUGACGGCCUUCGGGUUGUAAACCGCUUUCAAUUGUGACGAAGCUUUUUGUGACGGUAGCAGUAGAAGAAGCACCGGCUAACUACGUG
rnacentral:rRNA from 1 species